ACCCUCUCAGGGUCUUGCCUGUAGAGUUUCCAGUACUGUACCAGUCUUGACUUCGGGAGGGAGAAUCAAGCAGAGGUCUAUCCAUUCCAUUCCUAGCUUGGGCAGUGGCUAGCGAGUGGAAGGCAAUCUGCUACAAGU